UUUCUACCAACCCGUGAGUCUACCACUUCACGAUGCCAGGGUUUUGACACCCCCUCCCCUACCCUGCCAGUAUCCUCUCAAUGUAGCCUUUAGGCCUCUAAAGGAUUCUGGUGAGAAGGAAAUUGUAAUGUCCCCAGUUCAUGGCUGGGAACCUGAGCCAAGUCAGGUGGCCAGUGAGUGACAGAGCAGUGCCAGGAACUCAGGUCCUUUGAUGACAGUGAUCAUUGGCCACAGGCAGCCUCACCCAGCUUGCUGCUGCAAAGGCACUGACAAUUCAGACCCCUGCGCAAGCCUUGCUGAUUUGUUGAGGAAGAAAACUCCCAUGCUCCAGUGACAUGCUCAGCGAAGAAAGCUCCGCACUUGGACUCCCACACACGUGCCCACCUUGCCAGAGCAGCUGGGUCAGGAGGCAACAGUCAAAUUACCUCUUCUCAGUCCCUUCCUCUCUGACUUUAACAAUGACAAACCCACCGACUGAAAGGGCGGCAGGCAACAAUCUCAUUUGCUGCCGAGUGGAAACUGGAAACGCUUUUCUCAGAGAAAUUUAAAAGUCCUCCAAUUUCUGCCUUGUCUACAACCAGGUAAGUGGGAGACCAAAGUGUCACUGUUUAACUGAAAGCAAAUCUCCUUUGUCUGUGAUCAAAUUGCAAGUUCCCAGGCAAGGGGACCUGACCAGGCAAGGGGUCCUGACCAGGCAAGGGGGAAUUUUGCAGAUACCGGCUGUGUCAGAAUUCCUGGCUCUGGGGCAGGUCCUGACCCCACCUGCAUGCCUCCACUUUAUUUUAGCUUUGAGUAAGGUUUGAAAGUUCCCAAAGCCCAUCACACUGUUAUUUCAUCUGUACCUCCCACCAGCAUUACCCUUCCCAUUUUACGGAAGAGAGAACUGUCCCAGAGAAGUGAGCUUCUUUAGUCAUGACUAGGAAAUAGCAGGGUGAGGUUUCUAGCUCCACGGGCAGGAUGAGGAAUGUGGGAGACAGGUAGCAGGUGGGAGUUGGGCCCCAGGAAGGGGGAGACACAGGCCAGGCACCUACAGAGUCAUGCCAGG
rnacentral:lncRNA from 10 species